rnacentral:rRNA from 1 species
UACGAAGGGGGCUAGCGUUGCUCGGAAUCACUGGGCGUAAAGGGCGCGUAGGCGGCCUACUAAGUCAGACGUGAAAUCCCCCGGCUUAACCGGGGAACUGCAUCUAAUACUGGGUGGCUUGAAUCCGGGAGAGGGAUGCGGAAUUCCAGGUGUAGCGGUGAAAUGCGUAGAUAUCUGGAGGAACACCGGUGGCGAAGGCGGCAUCCUGGACCGGCAUUGACGCUGAGGCGCGAAAGCCAGGGGAGCAAACGGG